CCCUUAGACACUCUAGGCGGCACGCGCGCUACAAUGGGUGGAAGAACGUGUUACUGCCUCCGAAAGGAGGGGUGAAUUACGAAUUCUUGCCCGUGAAUGGGAUAGUUUGUUGCAAUUUUCGGACUUGAACUAGGAAUCCCUUGUAAACAUGCUCAAGAAUAGCGUGUUGAAUACGUCCCUGCCGUUUGUACACACCGCCCGUCGUUUCUUCCGACUGAUACUCAUUGUGAGUUGCAAGGACCCUUUAUUGGGAAAUUGCUGCAAAUGCUUUGUAUUGGAGGAAGAAAAAGUCGUAACA
rnacentral:rRNA from 1 species